AACUGUCGCACCUCCCAUGAUUUCUUUGACACAUACAUGAUGGAGAUGAAAAGUGACGACCGCAGCAAGUUCUUUGAUGCUUUGAUAAGCCUGCUGAAUUAAAAUUUACCAAGUCAUAUCUUGGUGUAUAUCAAAAUAAGUGCUCACAGGGUGUUUUGUAUACCUUUGUGCAUGUUUUUUUACAUAUAUGAACAAUUGGAAUCUAUACAUAUGACAGUAAUAUGAUUUUCUUAUGUUUCUAGUUGUACAUGUUGGUUGUUGUAAAGAUGAAUGAUUAGUGAUUGAACUUUACAACAGUUGUCUCAGUCAAUAUUUUUUUUUAAUGUUAAACUUAUCAAUUUCUUGGAGGUGUAAAAUCAGAACUGUACCAAUUUGUUCAGUCAAUAAAGAUUGUAAUUUCCACUCUGAGAUCUCUCUAGAUUCUGCAAUUAUUGAAAUGAGGGCACAUUCAAUGUUUUGCGUGUGUCAAACAAGAAAGAUAUGGUCAAAUGUAAGCCUCAAUUUUGAAGAGUUCUUAAUAAAAAUCAAGCUUCUGAAGAGAUCUUCAUAUAUUUUUUUAUUGUGAAUCAAUUCCAGUGACUGCUACUUUGUUGAUGUUUUUCAGAACAUUGACUUUGCAAGAUUUAAAUCAGACAGUUAUAUACAAACAGCUAAUGGAAAUUUGUUUGCAAACGAGAAAAAUAGUUUGCUAUGAUGCCUAAUUGUAUAUAUAUAGAUAUUUUGUUUAAUUAUAUAUAUGUUUAAAUUCUUAACAAUAUAAGGGUUUAUUAGUGACAUUUAUGCAGACAGAAAAACAAUAUUAAAUUUUGCAACUGGCUGUUUUUUCAAUCCUGCAUGUAGGACCUAUGGCAUGUUAUAUUGUUAUUUUAUUAAAGCGCAUGUUCUAUUUGUUAGCUUACCUGAGCACAAAGUGCUAAAGUGGAGCUAUUCUGAUCACCAAAUGUCUGCAAUAUUCAUCUUUUAGCUUGUUUACAUUCCAGAGGCCACAUGUUUGUAUACAAUAAUGAUCAAUAUAGGUCAAAGUAUUGAUCUUUACAAUACCAAGGCUGAGUUUGAAUCUGGGUCAGGUGCACUCAAGAACCAGUUCACCAUUUCCAAUCUUAGAAAACUUGGCCACUCUUGUCACAUUGAUGACUCAGUCUUAACCCUUUGCAUGCUUGAAAAUUUAUCGUCUGCUAAAAUGUCGUCUGCUAAAUUUCCACAAUUAGCAUUUCUUCGAAUUUUUUUUCCAAAAAAUACUAUCAGAAUAGCAAACAGUUUGGAUCCAGAUGAGAUGCCACGUUCUGUGGCAUCUCAUCUGGAUCCAAACUGUUUGCAAAGGCCUUCAAAAUUCGGUUCCCGCACUGAAAGAGUUAAUAAAAGUUGGUCAGAAAGUUUAUUUUGACAACAUAAAGGCCAUGUUUGAAUCUGGGUGACAUUUAAACAAACUUGGUCGCCAGGUCAUAUCAUAGAAAACCCAUUAUACCACUUUAAAAGCUAAAUUGAUCACUCAAUCUUAAGAAAUUGCAUAAAAUGUAUCUUCACAAAAUCAAUGCAAGUUUUGAAUGUGGGUCAAGUGGAUUAAAAAAUGUGUAGCUUAACUCAGGAGAGCGCUUAAGGGUCACCAUGGAAACUGGAAAUCUUUUUUAGAUAUAUCUGUAUAUAUUAUUGUCGUUUGAAAUGAAUUUAUUUGUAAAUACUAUCACUUAUUUAAUUGUGUGAAUAAGUAUCAUGAUAUACAUGUAUGUGCAUCUUUUUUCUCCAACUUGAUGUCUUGUUUUGAAAUUAGUGCUGUAAAUUGUGUUGCUUAUUGUGUUUCUAUUUUACGAUGCAAUUAAAUGCAUACAAAUAA